rnacentral:rRNA from 1 species
GAUGAACGCUGGCGGCGUGCCUAAUACAUGCAAGUCGAGCGGUAAGGCCCCUUCGGGGGUACACGAGCGGCGGACGGCUGAGUAACACGUAGGAACGUACCCCAAAGUGAGGGAUAGGCACCAGAAAUGGUGUCUAAUACCGCAUGUGGCCUUAGGGCUAAAGCUCUCGAGCGCUUUGGGAACGGCCUGCGCAUGAUUAGCUUGUUGGUGAGGUAAUAGCUCACCAAGGCGACGAUCAUUAGCUGGUCUGAGAGGAUGAUCAGCCAGACUGGGACUGAGAACGGCCCAGACUCCUACGGGAGGCAGCAGUAGGGAAUUUUCCACAAUGGGCGAAAGCCUGAUGGGAGCAACGCCGCGUGCA